UGGACAAAGGAAGGCCGGAGUUGUUAGGAGGAGGAGGGAGAAGAACUGGAGCCCUGCAAGGCCGACUGCCCUUUACCUGCCUCUCUGGACCGGUUUGCCCCUCCGGGCUCAGGCUAGCUGCCGAGGAAGUUGCGCUGGGCCUGGAGUCAACAAGGCUCCACGUGCUCCCUUUCUCAUGGGAAGUGCAUUAAUGAGGAAACUGGUGUUCAGACUGGAAGCCACUCCUCCAGCACUGCCGGGUGCUCAAGGACCAGAGCUUGAAUCGGAGUCCCAGCUUCGGGCCUCCCAGCCCUGGACCGAGGCAGGUGUCUGAACAGAAAGGACCUGAAAGACAUCCACUUAAUAGUACCUGUUACUUGACUGAGUGAUUGGAAAAGAGCAAGAACAAAGAGAAGUAAGAGGACUAUAAACUACCUCCUGAGAAAUGAUUCCAAAAGGAGACACAACACCAAAACCAGGCUGUGCUGGAGGUCUACUGAUGUGGAUGGGAAGACAGCAGAUGCUGUGACCAUCCAUCCCUGAAAACGGGUGGUCCCCUGAGGGUCUUGCUUCCCCACCUGUAAUCCCCACAGGGCCUACAGCUGGGAGGACUUUCCCGGGAAGCAGAGUUGGGGGCAGUAUUUGGAGAGGGCACAGCCUGCAUCGAGGCCAGCUGAAGCAUGGAGACCCCAUCACGAGGCUUCCCUGAGGACCCCUCUUUGCACUCAGGCUUGGUGAGGGCUCCAGGUGUUGGAGGAGGAGAUGGAAUGAGAGUCUCACUCGGGCUUCUGGCUUGUUGACUGUGACUCCUGGUCUCUUGCUUGGACAGAGCCAGGAGGGUAAGAAAAACAGAAAAAAAGAAACAAAAAUAGCUGGAGAAUGAAAGAUGCCCAUCUGCUGUGUGGGCGAGGGAGGGCUGAGGAAGGAGGCUGGUUGGCCUGUCAGUUAAGAGGCUGAAUUGGGAAUUCCUGGCUUCACCAAACCAUGAGGAGGUCAGAGAAAAGACUAGAAACCAGACACACUGGAGGACCAGUUGAAUUUGGGCUGUAGUCCUGCUUGGCUUGGGCCACACUACCUAACCUCUGUGAGCCUGGUUUCUUACUCUAUAGUGUGGAAUGGGAACAACAUCAACUUUAAGAAGUUACUGUGUGGAUUAAACCAAUAAAUGUAGAAGAAU